rnacentral:rRNA from 1 species
ACAGCAGCAGCCGCGGUAAUACAGAGGGUGCGAGCGUUAAUCGGAUUUACUGGGAGUAAAGCGUGCGUAGGCGGCUUUUUAAGUCGGAUGUGAAAUCCCUGAGCUUAACUUAGGAAUUGCAUUCGAUACUGGGAAGCUAGAGUAUGGGAGAGGAUGGUAGAAUUCCAGGUGUAGCGGUGAAAUGCGUAGAGAUCUGGAGGAAUACCGAUGGCGAAGGCAGCCAUCUGGCCUAAUACUGACGCUGAGGUACGAAAGCAUGGGGAGCAAACAGGAUUAGAUACCCGAGUAGUCCCUGUCUCUUAUAC